rnacentral:tRNA from 1 species
GAGGGUAUAGCUCAAGUGGUAGAGUGCCUGCCUGCUAAGCAAAAGCCCUUGUUCAAACCCCCAGUACUCUCU